GUUUCCGCCCUUUAGUGCUGAAGUUAACGCAUUAAGCACUCCGCCUGGGGAGUACGGCCGCAAGGCUGAAACUCAAAGGAAUUGACGGGGGCCCGCACAAGCGGUGGAGCAUGUGGUUUAAUUCGAAGCAACGCGAAGAACCUUACCAGGUCUUGACAUCCUCUGACAACCCUAGAGAUAGGGCUUCUCCUUCGGGAGCAGAGUGACAGGUGGUGCAUGGUUGUCGUCAGCUCGUGUCGUGAGAUGUUGGGUUAAGUCCCGCAACGAGCGCAACCCUUGAUCUUAGUUGCCAUCAUUAAGUUGGGCACUCUAAGGUGACUGCCGGUGACAAACCGGAGGAAGGUGGGGAUGACGUCAAAUCAUCAUGCCCCUUAUGACCUGGGCUACACACGUGCUACAAUGGA
rnacentral:rRNA from 1 species